AACUGUUCAAUGCCAUCGAAAAAGCAAACAUGGAUGAAGACAAGCAACAUCAUUGUAUUGAUAGGCUGGGAAAAAGCGUGCAAACGUGUAAGGAUGCCCCUUUUGGGUCUUGGGGGGACAAUCCAGAGAAAGGGUGCUCCAUCAUGCGUCAAAUAAGUAGAUGGGUGAAUCUAGUUACUUCUGUCAUGAUUUUUAAUUUGAUUUCACCAUGCAUGGAAUCUUGUAACAUAAGAGCCCAUGGACAUCACU
rnacentral:lncRNA from 1 species